CGAGAUUCAACAAAAAAUAAAUAGUGACACUAUCGUACGGAAAUGAAAAGAACUCUCCUUUACAGUAGGGCUAUUAACAUGAUUAUCAAACCAUGAAAUUAGUUCCAGUCUUCCCACUCUGUUAUGUCAUGCAAUUUCUAAAAGUUAAGGCAAAGAAACAAAAGAUAAAUUAAUAUAUCACCCGCCACUUAUUGCCAGCUAUUACACAAACUCCAGGUCCAUAGAAUCAAACGAUUUACACAUUACACAAAGGCUUUUACAUAUAUGAACUUCAACUUCGUAGAAGCUGCCGGAGACCAUGCUACCAGGAUAUUUAAAACAAUAACCAAAUUUCUAAAAAAUUGAAAGAACCCAUUUGGAGAAAGAGAAUUACCAUAUCUACGGGAGAAAGGAGGGAUUUUGAGUGAAUAAAACUGAAUGGAAAUAAAUCGACAAGAAAAUAUUAGAAGCGGCGCAGCCGGCGAUGAACCCUGAAAUUUAACCGAAGAGCAUAGAGGAAAUAGGGUAGACGACUGAAGAGGAAAUAGGGUAGGAACGGUGGGUGUAUUCUGUAUUAUAUUGUAUAGGGAGGAAAUGAGGAAAUAAUAAGUUUGGGUAAAGUAAAGGGGGUAAAUGUAAAUUGUAAUAUAGAAUAAGGUAUAUUGUUAC
rnacentral:lncRNA from 1 species